AGAUCGCUUAAUCGAGAUUCGUAGUUUUUAUACGCUCAUCUCUAGUAAUGAACGUCAAGUACGUUCAAAAACCAUUGCAUAGAACUAAGCAACAGCUAAACACAAAAUGUGCUCAGUAGGAGAAAGAGAUGUCUUAUGGUAGUUUCUAAUGUCAGAAAGAGAUAGCUUAGGUGCACACAGUUUUUCUAAAAUGUUUUUUAUAAGUGCCCACCAAGUGCCCACUAUUUCAAACGUACUUUUAUGGGCAAUCAAUCGAGGAGGACGGGAUAAGAAAAAACUUGUAAAUAUUUAUAAAAAAUCAUAAUGAUUCGUUUCAAACUAGUUUAAAAUAAAUUUGGAAAAUAUGUGAUUACUUGCGACGUAUCAUGGAGUAAAUUCCACUCCACAUUGUUGCUACAGCUACACUGUUUAACGAUACAUUAAUAUUUUGUGGUCAAACAUGGAUAACAGGAUAAAGUGGAUAAUAUUAGGCUCAGUGCCUGUGUGUUUAGCCUUUAUUUGGUAUUUACCGUUUACAUGGAGCUUGAUUUAUUUGGUAAUAUUUAGUGUCUUUCUAAUAACAACAGUGUUUGCGUUAACACUUUGGAGCCAUGUCGCCCUAUCCUCUCCUCAUCAAACUUCUUUGUUCUUGCUGGAUAGAGUGGAAAAAGAAGCUCGUCAAUUAGAGGAGGCUUUGAAGGAAGACCAAGGCACAUGGCCCCAUUCUACCAGGAAGACUCAUUUACCGGUGAUAUUCGGGCGUACAGUGGACAGUCAGUUGCAGCUUUUGAUUGACAACAUCCUGAGAGACUUUGUGCUUCGAUGGCUGAAGGAACUCUCGCAUAAACCCGAACCUGUUGUGGAUAAAUUCAAGGAGCAUGUCUGGGGUGCCAUUCAGAACCUCUAUGAGAGACUACUAAAAGUUGACGCUGAGAAGCUCUUAGCUAAUGACAUGAUCACCAAAAUUACUCAGCAUUUUGAACGGAUUAGAAUUGCUCAAAGUUGUGCAUUGGAACUAAACCAGCCCCCAGUAUUCGCGUUGGCUCCCCACCUGAUGUCCUGUGAGACGGAGCUGCACUACCUGCGGCAGAUCAGCGAGCUCAUCAUCAUGUUCCUGAUGCCGCGCUGCUAUUCGCUGACCCCCGCCUCGCAUCUCAUGAGGGAGAUCUUGUCUUGUAAAGUGCUCCAACCAGCGAUAGACUUAGUAACAGAGCCAGACUACAUCAACCAGAAGAUCAUCCAAUACUUGGAGGCGCAGAAGGAAGUAGAUGCGAUGCACGUUCGGACCCACGAGUACGCGAAGACGUUCGAGGAUUACAUUCGACUUAUCAACAGCUGUAACAAUGUCGACACGCUGAAACGGUUACGAUAUGACAUAGUGACUCAGAUUAUGCAGGCCACCACACUUCAGAAUAUGAAACGGGCGAAAGGGAUUGAUAUAGACGCGGUAGAGAAGACAGGGAUGCAGCAUAAUAUUAGUAGACAGCAGAUAGCUGAUGCUAAGAAGUUGAAGAAGUAUAUUGCUCAGCUGACGAUUGCUAAGGCGGAGUGUGAAGCGGCGUUGAGGAAGUUAGGUUGGGACGGCGCGUUCCCGACUGUCGAGUCUAAUAGCAAGACUCUACCUCUUCACAAGGUAAUGGAGAGUGUGACUGGCCGGCGUUACCUAUCGAUGUUCUUGGAGACGCUGUGUUCACCUGGUCUUGUGGGGUUCUGGACGGCUGUGGAGGAGCUCCGACACAGUCCCCGAAGCAGCUGGCACCAGCUCGGGGCCGAGAUAUUCUACACAUACAUACGGUCGCCCAGCGCAGAGAUAAAAGUCGAUAAGGACACCAGAAAAAGAAUGGAAGCAUUCCUCCUAGGCGAUAAAGGGCCAGAAGUGUUUUAUGAAGUCCAAGAGACGGUGGUGGACACGAUACAAGAGAAAUAUUACCAUUCCUUCCUCAUGAGCGAACAGUACACUGCUUUAAUAGCAGAACUCGCCACAGAAGAGGCUAAUAGCAAAGAGCAAAUUAACGACAGGUCGCCGAUAGAAGACCGGCAGCUGUCCAACGAGUCUGCGUCAUCAGCAGAGAGCGCUGGCGGGGCUUUACACCUCGCUGACCACUCCACCUACGCGAGGAGGAAGCUCGACCAGCUCCAGGAGAGACACAAUAACAAGAUCCAGGCGUUAGCAGCCCUCCGCGCGUCGCUGAAGCCGGAGUCCCCAGCGCUGGCGAUGCUAGCCAACGAGGUAGAUCGCUUAGCGGGCGAGCAGAUGAGGUUAGAGGCGCACCUGGCGCGGACAGACACGUGGGCCGACCACCUCGGCCGCUGGCGCGCCACUGUUCACAGCGCUGAGGUGAUAGAGGAGUCGAAGCCUCCGCAGUUCGUGAUCGUGGUGCACAUGGCGGAGUCCCCCGCGCCCCCUGGCGGCGCCGACGAGCGGCCCGAGCACAUCUCCACCGGCUGGGUGCUGCUGCGGACGCUUAACGAGUUCCAGGAGCUACAUAGAAAACUGCGGCCUAUGUGUGCAGAGCUGAAAAACUUGGAGCUGCCGUCCAACUCGUUCAAAUUCCUAUUCGGGAAAAAUGAUAAAAACUCACUAGAAAAGGCCAAAAUUUUGAUACAGAAAUAUUUAGAAUUUGUUUUAGAAGACGACCGACUGAACCAAAGCGAAGCUUUAUAUACAUUCCUCAACCCCAGCUCGGAGUAUUUGAAACAGGGAGACUUACCAAAGAAGAAUAAGUUCUCUUUUUCUACGUUAUUCAAAAGCACAAGCAGUGAAGCGACGACGCGGUCGUCCCAGGAGCGAGAGGCGUUUGCGCAUCUGUCGGCCGACGAGGACGAGAUAUCUCUGUACCUGGACGGCAACGGCGCAGACGCAGCUAACAAGAAUGUUGCUGGUGCUAUGAAAGGUGUGGGUGGUCUAAGCGAAGAGCGAGACAGCAUAGCGGAGCCGCUGUACGCGCUCUUAAGCGAAGUGUUCGACAUGCGCGGCGUGUUCCGCUGGCUGCGCAAGACGCUCGUCACCUUCGUGCAGAUCACUUAUGGCAGGACCAUCAACAGACAGAUCAAGGAGACGAUAUCGUGGCUGUUCUCGGAGCAGAUGCUGCACUACUACACCAGUGUGGUGCUCAAGUCGUGGUGGCCGGGCGGCGUGCUCAGCGAGACAACUACCAAUAGGAACUUUCAGGAUAAAGAGCACACGGUGACGCUGGCGCGGCAGCAGCUGUGUGACGCGGUGUGUGACGCGCUGGCGUCGCUGGUGGGCGAGCAGGCGGCCGCGCGCGGCGCCAACAAGCUCUUCCACACGCUGCAACACACCACGCACAACAAGCAGCUCUUCUAUGAACUAUUUGAGCUGGUCCUACUGGAGGUAUUCCCUGAGCUCAAGCGCUAUCAUUGAAGCGACGUAGGCAAGAGAAGGUUGACAAUAGAUAUAUCAAGAUUGUAUAAAACUUACAGGGAUUAUGGCCACAAUUCUUCCCCUACAUUUUGAUACUCCGAUGAGCAUUCCUUUUUUCUACUCUCUAUUUCGACUGAAAUGUUUUAAAGUAAUGCAUAAUUUUAAGUCUUAUAAUUUAGCAAUAUAAUUGCUAUGAUCUCUUUAUGUGUUGCCAUACCGCGCCCGGUGAUGUUUUAGAUUAAUUAUCUAAAGUUCUUAUGUGAGUUCACUAGGUGCCAAAGGUUGCACUAUUUGUUGUGCUUUUAACUACGUAACACGAAAUGUAAGGCUUCGUGCAGACUCAGCGAAUGUGUCGCGAAUGCGCCAAAUGUGCGCAAAUACAGUAAAGCCUCAUAUCCACUAGGCAACAACUACCGCGCAACACGUAACGCUCAACAUUUACGGCAACGUUGCACAACAACGCGCGACGUUGCCAGCUGAAUCGCAACAUGUAAUGUUACCUACUGAGUAAAUAUAGGCUGGUAGUGACAUCGUAACGAAUACUGAGGGAGAUGAUUCGGAUUAUGAUUCUGAGUUAAUAUGUGGAAUUAUCCGUCGGAAAAUUCAUGUUUUUAUUUUUUGUUUUUUAAAAUUAUUUUCAAUUCUAUACUUUUGCUAUGGAAAAUUCCACUUGAUAUUAACUCAGAAUAAUGAGCUGAAUCAUCCCUCUCAGUAUUUGUUACGAUGUCACUUACACCCCGUACAGUCAUGAGCAAUAUAAUGUACCCACUAUAGGACUCUGUCGCACUAACAUAUUUGACAUUUAGUGAGACUUACAGUUCAAUUUGUCAAAAAAGUUAAUGUGACAUGGUACCAAAGUGUAUACAUAUUAAUGCUCGUGA
rnacentral:misc_RNA from 1 species